CACUGUGCCCCCCAAAAAUAUCUUCCUCUCCCCUAAAAACAACUGAUGGAGAGUGCACCAACCGCUCUAGUUACAGAAAUGCACCCAGGGCUGCCAACCCUCUUGUACCCUGAAUGGCUCUCCAAGGCUCUAGCCAAAGGCCUGGCCCGAGCUGAGAUCCUUCCAGCCAAGACCCCGCCCUGAGGGGAUGGUGAGAGCUCUGUGUGUCAGCCCCGGCCUGGAGGCUGAGCUGGGAGGGAAAAUUAGCCCUUUUCUAACGUCCUGUCAGCGGCGACUGCCAGUUCUCCAAGGGCCAUGACACCUUUUCCCCAGGAGCAGGAUGUCCGUUGUUACAAAGCUUCCAUUUUUGCAAAGGAAACAUUUUCAGUUUCAUUUUCUCCCUGUAGUAGAAGAAGAAAAAUCACUUACAGCUGCUAUUGUAAAUAAACCAAAAGAAUUUCA